GAUGAACGCUGACAGAAUGCUUAACACAUGCAAGUCGAUGGGGAAGUGGUGCUUGCACCAUGGCAACCAUGGCGGACGGGUGAGUAACGCGUAAGGGACUUACCUGCAGGACUGGGAUAACAGGGGGAAACUCCUGACAAGACCGGAUAAUGUCAUGGAGCUGCAUGGCUUUAUGAUGAAAGGAGACGCCUGCGGAGAGCCUUGCGUCCUAUUAGCUAGUUGGUGAGGUAAUGGCUCACCAAGGCGAAGAUAGGUAGCCGGCCUGAGAGGGUGGACGGCCACAAGGGGACUGAGAUACGGCACUUACUCCUACGGGAGGCAGCAGUGGGGAAUAUUGGACAAUGGGGGCAACCCUGAUCCAGCAAUUCUGUGUGCACGAAGAAGGUUUUCGGAUUGUAAAGUGCUUUCAGCAGAGAAGAAGUAAGUGACGGUACCUGCAGAAGAAGCGACGGCUAAAUACGUG
rnacentral:rRNA from 1 species